rnacentral:rRNA from 1 species
UGGGGAAUAUUGCACAAUGGAGGGAACUCUGAUGCAGCGACGCCGCGUGAGUGAUGAAGGAAUUCGUUUCGUAAAACUCUGUUCUAUGGGAAGAAAAGGACUGUACCAUAGGAGAAAGCUCCGGCUAAAUACGUGCCAGCAGCCGCGGUAAUACGUAUGGAGCGAGCGUUGUCCGGAAUUAUUGGGCGUAAAGGGUGCGCAGGCGGCUUUACAAGUUGGAUGUGAAAUAUUGUGGCUCAACCACAAACGUGCAUCCAAAACUGCAAAGCUUGAGUUAAGGAGAGGUAAGUGGAAUUCCUGGUGUAGCGGUGGAAUGCGUAGAUAUCAGGAGGAAUACCGGUGGCGAAGGCGACUUACUGGACUUUAACUGACGCUCAGGCACGAAAGCGUGGGGAGCAAACAGG